rnacentral:rRNA from 1 species
AACGCGAAGAACCUUACCCAGGCUUGACAUACACGAGACAGCAUCAGAAAUGGUGCCUCCCUUCGGGGCUCGUGAACAGGUGCUGCAUGGCUGUCGUCAGCUCGUGCCGUGAGGUGUUGGGUUAAGUCCCGCAACGAGCGCAACCCUUGUCUCAUGUUGCCAGCGCGUUAUGGCGGGGACUCGUGAGAGACUGCCGGGGUCAACUCGGAGGAAGGUGGGGAUGACGUCAAGUCAUCAUGCCCCUUAUGUCCAGGGCUUCACACAUGCUACAAUGGCCGGUACAAAGGGCUGCGAUGCCGUGAGGUUAAGCGAAUCCUUUAAAGCCGGUCUCAGUUCGGAUCGGGGUCUGCAACUCGACCCCGUGAAGUUGGAAUCGCUAGUAGUCGCAGAUCAGCACGCUGCGGUGAAUACGUUCCCGGGCCUUGUACACACCGACGCGUA